AUUGAACGCUGGCGGCAGGCCUAACACAUGCAAGUCGAACGAGUGGCGGACGGGUGAGUAAUGUCUGGGAAACUGCCUGAUGGAGGGGGAUAACUACUGGAAACGGUAGCUAAUACCGCAUACCAUCGGAGGUGCCCAGAUGGGAUUAGCUAGUAGGUGGGGUAAAGGCUCACCUAGGCGACGAUCCCUAGCUGGUCUGAGAGGAUGACCAGCCACACUGGAACUGAGACACGGUCCAGACUCCUACGGGAGGCAGCAGUGGGGAAUCUUUCACAAUGGGCGAAAGCCUGAUGCAGCCAUGCCGCGUGUAUGAAGAAGGCCUUCGGGUUGUAAAGCACUGUCAGCAGGGAAGCGUUACUCGCAGAAGAAGCAACGGCUAACUCCGUGCCAGCAGCCGCGGUAAUAC
rnacentral:rRNA from 1 species